rnacentral:lncRNA from 1 species
AAGCCACUCCCUUCCGCCUUCCCCAAGCCCAGAACCGGAGCGCUUUCCCGGAAUACCCUCCCCAAGCUCAGGUAUUUACCCCCCAGGAGCAAUCUCUCCGCCGCUGCCGACGGUGGCGCCUCAGAUCUAAGCCUUAACCUACCUAAAUUAUCCUCCGUAGAGAAGAAAAGGCCGCUUUUGGGGCAGGUGAGAGUUACUGCUCCGUUCAAGGUCGCUCCGG